GACGAACGCUGGCGGCGUGCUUAACACAUGCAAGUCGAACGCUGAAGCUCAGCUUUUGUUGGGUGGAUGAGUGGCGAACGGGUGAGUAACACGUGAGUAACCUGCCCCCCUCUUUGGGAUAACGCCCGGAAACGGGUGCUAAUACUGGAUAUUCACUGGUCUUCGCAUGGGGGUUGGUGGAAAGGGUUUUUCUGGUGGGGGAUGGGCUCGCGGCCUAUCAGCUUGUUGGUGGGGUGAUGGCCUACCAAGGCUUUGACGGGUAGCCGGCCUGAGAGGGUGACCGGUCACAUUGGGACUGAGAUACGGCCCAGACUCCUACGGGAGGCAGCAGUGGGGAAUAUUGCACAAUGGGCGCAAGCCUGAUGCAGCGACGCCGCGGGAGGGAUGGAGGCCGUCGGGUUGUGAACCUCUUUCGCUCAUGGUCAAGCCGCAACAAUGGUUGUGGUGAGGGUAGUGGGUAAAGAAGCGCCGGCUAACUACGUG
rnacentral:rRNA from 1 species